rnacentral:snoRNA from 1 species
UGGACAUUUAGAUUUUUUUUUCUUUCUCCUUUGUGGUGAUAAUUAUACAUAAGUGUCCUUCGUUAACAUAGAAGCUUUCAGUUCAUUCUUCUCAAGUUAAUAAGCAGUGUAUCAUUCCACUUCUAACACUU